rnacentral:lncRNA from 1 species
CUGUUUAUUUUAUGACGAGGGUGCGGUAGAUGUCAUGGGCUGAAUGUCAAUCUUUGCACACUCCAAAUGAAACGUGCUCAUCAGAGCUGAAUACACAUGCAGACUACAGUGUAUGUAUACAUACUGUACCUAUGGAUGAAUGACUCAGGACUGUUUGGGCCCUCUGGUCAUGUCUGUAGAGAUGCUGAGCAUAAGCAAUAACCUCUACAGACCAUUUCCCUGCUUUGAUUAGUUGAGGCUUUGCACAAAGAAGCCAAUUCCUGAUCCUCAAUCUUUUUUUAUAAUAAGGAUGGAGGGUUUUAUAUUUUCCACUCUACUCUUCCGGUAGUCGCGUGCGUCCACGGUAAAGUGCCGCGGGUCAGCGCCGCGGGUCAGCGCCGCGAGCUCGCUGCUGAUCCGUGUGCGACGCUUCGCUGCCGGCACAAAUCUGCCAUCAACAUGUAACAUGGGAGGAAAUGUCACAUAUGAACAUUUCUGGCAAGGACACGAUGACGCGUGACGCUCAGUGCUUCUGCGGAACCGGCUGCUGAUAGAAGUGUGAGCAUCAAAUAAAGGCAGUUAUGUUAAUACAUGUCACGCACGGAUGCCUCAUAAGCAGCCAGUCUCUGAUGCAGAAGCACAGAAGCUGCUGGUUCGUUUGCCAAGAACAACGCCCACCAGAACCGGGCCUCACCCCGGUGUCGAUGCUGUUUGGCUGCAGAGCGGAGAAAGCUGAGCGGCUGCAGAGGAAGCAGGGUUUGUUUGUUUGUUGGUUGUUUCUUUGUUUGUUGGUUUGUUUGUUUGUUUGUUUGUUUGUUUCUUUGUUUGUUGGUUUGUUGUUUCUUUGUUUGUUGGUUUCCUUGUUUGUUUGCUUGUUUGUUUCCUUGUUUGUUUGUUGUUUGUUUGUUGGUUUCCUUGUUGGUUUCUUUGUUUUGUUUGUUUGUUUGUUUUGUUUGUUUGUUUGUUGGUUGGUUGGUUUCCUUGUUGGUUUGCUGGUUUGUUUGUUGGUUUGUUGCUCUGGCGCUUUCAUUCUACAUGUUUCACACAGCACCGCUCUGCUCAUCGUCGAUAAGCCUGAGUCUGUGUAGUAAUGUUUCCCUUCUUUUACAGGCACAUAUGGACGAGCGCUCGUAACGAACGCCUUCGCGCUCCACAUGAAACAGAACGACGCCGUGGAGCUGAGCCCACGCGCUGCACGGGGGGUGCGGCGUGGGCUCUGCGCUGGCUUCAGUCAGAGGAAGCCGACCCGCUGCACCGGAUCAGAACCACCGUCGUAGCUGCUUCAUUCAGCUAAAGGGAACAGCGGGAAACACAUGAAGCCUGUUCUCAUCCUGUUUGUCUUCUUCCACAGAUGCAGUUUUCACCAGACACCGGUUCUCAUACAAUGAGAUGCUGCAUUAAGUCCUUUAGGUAAAUGGAGCCCACGCUCUGAUUAUCCUCAGAUUUACUUCUGGGGCUUUGAGAACUCGGGUCUAUACGUACUGCACAUGGUGAAGGCGAACAGAAUGCGGUUUACGGGAAACGCUGCAAACCGUCUCUUUAAGCCCGAGGCUCCGGUUCCAGCAGCUCAAAGAAACACCAUUAAAUCCUGAGGUGAGCUUUGAACUGGGGCAAAAUGGGCUCAUUGGAGAAAACGGAGCCUCGCGUACAUUUACUGAAAAUCAAUCUGCAGCCUGUUCCCAUCGUGCAAAACGAUGAAGGGGAACAGAGGCCGACUGCAAAAUGAUUCUAGGGAACCAGUCUCAGGUUUGAUUCAUGAAGCUUCAAUAUGAAGGUGAGGCGUCGCUGAGCGUCUCCCUGUGGAUCGGCCAGUAUCUGCUUGGACCUGUGACUUCUUGACUGAUCAACGGGACAAAGGAGCUGCUGCUCGUUCUCGCUGCCAAUUAGCGCCAUGAUGCCCGUUAGUUUCCCUCCAGCUCCUGUAAUUGGAUCUCAAUUGGAAAACAUGGCGCCCGUUUCUCUUCCUCCUCUGCUUCCAACUGAGCGCGGAUCCGUUGUUUAUACAGCGGUUUAGCGGCUUUGCACCACUUUACUGGGAUUUGCUGAAUUCAUGUCGUGCUGCAGCUGUUGGAGUUGCUAGAGUGUAAA